rnacentral:rRNA from 1 species
UUAAGCGACUAAGCGUACACGGUGGAUGCCUAGGCAGUCAGAGGCGAUGAAGGGCGUGCUAAUCUGCGAAAAGCGUCGGUAAGCUGAUAUGAAGCGUUAUAACCGACGAUACCCGAAUGGGGAAACCCAGUGCAAUACGUUGCACUAUCGUUAGAUGAAUACAUAGUCUAACGAGGCGAACCGGGGAACUGAAACAUCUAAGUACCCCGAGGAAAAGAAAUCAACCGAGAUUCCCCCAGUAGCGGCGAGCGAACGGGGAGGAGCCCAGAGUCUGAAUCAGUUUGUGUGUUAGUGGAAGCGUCUGGAAAGUCGCACGGUACAGGGUGAUAGUCCCGUACACCAAAAUGCACAGGCUGUGAACUCGAUGAGUAGGGCGGGACACGUGACAUCCUGUCUGAAUAUGGGGGGACCAUCCUCCAAGGCUAAAUACUCCUGACUGACCGAUAGUGAACCAGUACCGUGAGGGAAAGGCGAAAAGAACCCCGGCGAGGGGAGUGAAAUAGAACCUGAAACCGUGUACGUACAAGCAGUGGGAGCACCUUCGUGGUGUGACUGCGUACCUUUGUAUAAUGGGUCAGCGACUUAUAUUUUGUAGCAAGGUUAACCGAAUAGGGAGCCGUAGGGAAACCGAGUCUUAACUGGGCGUCUAGUUGCAAGGUAUAGACCCGAAACCCGGUGAUCUAGCCAUGGGCAGGUUGAAGGUUGGGUAACACUAACUGGAGGACCGAACCGACUAAUGUUGAAAAAUUAGCGGAUGACUUGUGGCUGGGGGUGAAAGGCCAAUCAAACCGGGAGAUAGCUGGUUCUCCCCGAAAGCUAUUUAGGUAGCGCCUCGUGAACUCAUCUUCGGGGGUAGAGCACUGUUUCGGCUAGGGGGCCAUCCCGGCUUACCAAACCGAUGCAAACUCCGAAUACCGAAGAAUGUUAUCACGGGAGACACACGGCGGGUGCUAACGUCCGUCGUGAAGAGGGAAACAACCCAGACCGCCAGCUAAGGUCCCAAAGUCAUGGUUAAGUGGGAAACGAUGUGGGAAGGCACAGACAGCCAGGAUGUUGGCUUAGAAGCAGCCAUCAUUUAAAGAAAGCGUAAUAGCUCACUGGUCGAGUCGGCCUGCGCGGAAGAUGUAACGGGGCUAAACCAUGCACCGAAGCUGCGGCAGCGACACUUAGGUGUUGUUGGGUAGGGGAGCGUUCUGUAAGCCGUUGAAGGUGACCUGUGAGGGUUGCUGGAGGUAUCAGAAGUGCGAAUGCUGACAUAAGUAACGAUAAUGCGGGUGAAAAACCCGCACGCCGGAAGACCAAGGGUUCCUGUCCAACGUUAAUCGGGGCAGGGUGAGUCGACCCCUAAGGCGAGGCUGAAAAGCGUAGUCGAUGGGAAACAGGUUAAUAUUCCUGUACUUGGUGUUACUGCGAAGGGGGGACGGAGAAGGCUAGGCUGGCCGGGCGACGGUUGUCCCGGUUUAAGCGUGUAGGGGGAGUGACCAGGUAAAUCCGGUUGCUUAUCAACCCUGAGGCGUGAUGACGAUGCACCACGGUGCAGAAGCAGUUGAUGCCAUGCUUCCAGGAAAGCCUCUAAGCAUCAGGUAACAUUAAAUCGUACCCAAACCGACACAGGUGGUCAGGUAGAGAAUACUCAGGCGCUUGAGAGAACUCGGGUGAAGGAACUAGGCAAAAUGGUGCCGUAACUUCGGGAGAAGGCACGCUGGCGUUAGGUGAAAGGACUAGCUCCUGGAGCUGAAGCCAGUCGCAGAUACCAGCUGGCUGCAACUGUUUAAUAAAACACAGCACUGUGCAAACACGAAAGUGGACGUAUACGGUGUGACGCCUGCCCGGUGCUGGAAGGUUAAUUGAUGGGGUCAGCCGCAAGGCGAAGCUCUUGAUCGAAGCCCCAGUAAACGGCGGCCGUAACUAUAACGGUCCUAAGGUAGCGAAAUUCCUUGUCGGGUAAGUUCCGACCUGCACGAAUGGCGUAAUGAUGGCCAGGCUGUCUCCACCCGAGACUCAGUGAAAUUGAACUCGCUGUGAAGAUGCAGUGUACCCGCGGCAAGACGGAAAGACCCCGUGAACCUUUACUAUAGCUUGACACUGAACAUUGAGCCUUGAUGUGUAGGAUAGGUGGGAGGCCUUGAAGUGUGGACGCCAGUCUGCAUGGAGCCAACCUUGAAAUACCACCCUUUAAUGUUUGAUGUUCUAACUCGGCCCCAUGAUCUGGGGUGAGGACAGUGUCUGGUGGGUAGUUUGACUGGGGCGGUCUCCUCCCAAAGAGUAACGGAGGAGCACGAAGGUUAGCUAAUCACGGUCGGACAUCGUGAGGUUAGUGCAAAGGCAUAAGCUAGCUUGACUGCGAGAGUGACGGCUCGAGCAGGUACGAAAGUAGGUCUUAGUGAUCCGGUGGUUCUGAAUGGAAGGGCCAUCGCUCAACGGAUAAAAGGUACUCCGGGGAUAACAGGCUGAUACCGCCCAAGAGUUCAUAUCGACGGCGGUGUUUGGCACCUCGAUGUCGGCUCAUCACAUCCUGGGGCUGAAGUAGGUCCCAAGGGUAUGGCUGUUCGCCAUUUAAAGUGGUACGCGAGCUGGGUUUAGAACGUCGUGAGACAGUUCGGUCCCUAUCUGCCGUGGGCGUUGGAAGAUUGAGAGGGGCUGCUCCUAGUACGAGAGGACCGGAGUGGACGAAUCACUGGUGUUCGGGUUGUCAUGCCAAUGGCAUUGCCCGGUAGCUAAAUUCGGAAGAGAUAACCGCUGAAAGCAUCUAAGCGGGAAACUUGCCUCGAGAUGAGUCUUCCCUGGGGCUUAAAGCCCCCUGAAGGAACGUUAAAGACUAUGACGUUGAUAGGCUGGGUGUGUAAGUGCAGCGAUGUAUUGAGCUAACCAGUACUAAUGAUCCGUGAGGCUUAACCUU